GACGAACGCUGGCGGCGUGCCUAACACAUGCAAGUCGAACGAAGCUCCCUGACCCGAGGCUUCGGCCAAGGGGACGGGAUGACUUAGUGGCGAACGGGUGAGUAACGCGUGAGUAAUCUGCCUCUCUGUGGGGGACAACAGCUGGAAACGGCUGCUAAGACCGCAUAAUGUAUUGGAUGGCAUCUUCCGGUACCAAAGAUUUAUUGCAGAGAGAUGAGGUCGCGUCCGAUUAGAUAGUUGGCGGGGUAACGGCCCACCAAGUCUGCGAUCGGUAGCCGGACUGAGAGGUUGAUCGGCCACAUUGGGACUGAGAUACGGCCCAGACUCCUACGGGAGGCAGCAGUGGGGAAUAUUGGGCAAUGGGGGAAACCCUGACCCAGCAACGCCGCGUGAAGGAAGAAGGCUUUCGGGUUGUAAACUUCUUUGACGAGGGACGAACAUAAUGACGGUACCUCGAAAACAAGCCACGGCUAACUACGUGCCAGCCGCCGCCGUAAAAC
rnacentral:rRNA from 1 species